CCUACGGGUGGCAGCAGUGGGGAAUAUUGCACAAUGGGGAAAACCCUGAUGCAGCGACGCCGCGUGAGUGAAGAAGUAUUUCGGUAUGUAAAGCUCUAUCAGCAGGGAAGAAAAUGACGGUACAUGAUGAAGAAGCCCCGGCUAACUACGUGCCAGCAGCCGCGGUAAUACGUAGGGGGCAAGCGGUAUCCGGAUAUACUGGGUGUAAAGGGAGCGUAGACGGCAGCACAAGUCUGGAGUGAAAUGCCGUGGCUUAACCCCGGAACUGCUUUGGAAACGGUGCAGCUAGGGUGCAGGAGAGGUAAGUUGAAUUCCUAGUGUAGCGGUGAAAUGCGUAGAUAUUAGGAGGAACACCAGUGGCGAAGGCGGCUUACUGGACUGUAACUGACGUUGAGGCUCGAAAGCGUGGGGAGCAAACAGGAUUAGAUACCCUAGUAGUC
rnacentral:rRNA from 1 species